UGACCUGCGCCUGACUUCCUCAUUACC
rnacentral:piRNA from 1 species